rnacentral:rRNA from 1 species
AACGAACGCUGGCGGCAUGCCUAACACAUGCAAGUCGAACGAGACCUUCGGGUCUAGUGGCGCACGGGUGCGUAACGCGUGGGAACCUGCCCUUAGGUUCGGAAUAACUCCCCGAAAGGGGUGCUAAUACCGGAUAAUGUCUUCGGACCAAAGAUUUAUCGCCUUUGGAUGGGCCCGCGUUGGAUUAGCUAGUUGGUGGGGUAAAAGCCUACCAAGGCGACGAUCCAUAGCUGGUCUGAGAGGAUGAUCAGCCACACUGGGACUGAGACACGGCCCAGACUCCUACGGGAGGCAGCAGUGGGGAAUAUUGGACAAUGGGCGAAAGCCUGAUCCGGCAAUGCCGCGUGAGUGAUGAAGGCCUUAGGGUUGUAAAGCUCUUUUACCCGGGAUGAUAAUGACAGUACCGGGAGAAUAAGCUCCGGCUAACUCCGUG